GUUUCUGAAACCACUUGCCUCAUACAUUUUUUUAGAGCUAUGGAUCCAAGUUAUUUAGACUUUUCGAAUUCAAAGAAGGCAUGAAGGAACGAUCUUAAGAGUUCAGAUAUGACUAGGCCAUGAGCUUAACAUUUUUAGUAGCCAUGUGUCCCAUAGCACUCGGUCAUGUUAAAUCGUCGAUUAUUCCAUUCUAUUGCUUUACGACA